rnacentral:misc_RNA from 1 species
GUUUAAAAAAAAAAAAAAAACCAUGAUAUUACUGAUAGGGCACAUCCAAACUCAAGGAACAGGAGGCUUUUCAUGAAACAACAGGAAAUAGAACACAAUGAUUAGUUGAUUACCUGUUUUAACAAGCCCACUCCAUGAAUUGUCUCCUCAAUCUCUCAUAGUUCAUAAUGAAUUAAAACUCAAAAUUGGUUAAUUUAUACAAUUCCAAUAUCUGAAAGUUCAAAAUAUUGAGUUUUAAAUACCCAAUUCCAAACAACAUGAAGAUACGGGCGGCACAAUUUCGUGAUCCAUAUAAUAACUUUUGUGUGCGUACCUCUUGAAAUGUUCGUGUUCAAAUUCUCCUCUCUGCUCUAUUUGUGUCCAGAUGCAACUGCUAGCUCAUGAAAAAGACUAAACCCCAUAAAGAAUUAAAGAUUGAUGAACCAAAAAAAGAAUACACUUGAACAAUAAUCAUUUAUCAACAACAUGAAAAGGAGGGAGGAAAAAACAACUUUUCCGGGUAAACAUGCGGAAAGAGGCUGAAUUCAGGAAAAUUAAACGAACCCAUUAAUCUUGAAGAAGGAAAUCCCAAGGAAAAUAGCAGGUCAAGGAUCAAAAUUCAAUGUUCACAGAUAUGUAUAGUGAAGAAAUAGACGUUCAAAUAUUUGUGUAACUAAGUAGGAGGAAGGAGCAGAGCAGUGAGAGUCUGCCUCACCCAACCAAUACCCAAGUCUGAUGGAGAAGCCUCGUAACAAGACAAAAGCUUUGUAAACAUACAAAUGUUGCUCGCAAAAAACUCUCACAGUUAGCCAAGGAGUCAAGGCUUGAAUUCUCCCUUUCAAUUAAGAACGCCGGAAUCUAUUUGGGAAGUAUUUUCCGCAAAUUUUU